CUGUGUGUGCAUAUGAGUGUGUGUGUCUGUAUCAAAUACUGUCCAUUCUCAUUUCCUACCUCUUUACUACCCUGGUCCACAAUUCCAACAAAUGUCUAUUGUGUUUAUCUUAAUUGCUUUGGGACCCACUGAGAUCGACCAAAGCCAUCUGCGAGACUUGUGGGCUUGGAUCUAUGUGAACGAGACUGGUGGGCUCAGCAGAGGACUACAACCAAAGAGUUCUCAGAGCCAUGGAUGGGAAGGAGUAACUGGCCUUUUCAGAGGAAAUUCCACCAUUCCCAGUUGGACUCCGACAGUGGUCUCUAACUGCAGAAGACGCAGCCAGGUAUUCGGGACCUGAAACCUCCCCGGAGCCACAGUCGCCGCGCGGGGCGGCCUGGGAAAGUCACCAGUCAGCAGCGCAGUGGCGGGAACCGCAGCCCGGCGGCCCUGGAACCUCCCAGAGAGUGGCGUAUUUACCUGGAGACUUGGAUUCGCCGAGAGCUUUUAGAUAAUAGUCAUGAAAGGUACAUCUGCGCAGGCCUUUAAUCCCAGCACUCAGGAGGCAGAGCCAGGCAGAUCUCUGUGAGUUCGAGGCCAGCCUGGUCUAC